UCACUAAAAGUGAUGAAGGUACGUGAGCAGCGAGCAGGGGCGUUGACGGGUCCCGUCCCAGCAUGAGGAGUCAAUGCAGAUGCUGAGGGAGCAGGAUCAAGUCUGAAGACAAAAGACAAAAAAACACAAAGAGCUGAGGAGAGAAGAUAACAGAUAUAGAAAGAAGGAAAUCAGGCUGGGUGCAGUGGCUCAUGCCUGUAAUCCCAGCACUUUGGGAGGCCAAGGCAGGCAGAUGACGAGGUCAGGAGUUCGAGACCAGCCUGGCCAACACGGUGAAACCCCGUCUCUACUAAAAAUACAAAAAUUAGCCGGGCGUGGUGCCGGGCGCCUAUAAUCCCAGCUACUCAGGAGGUUGAGGCAGGAGAAUUGCUUGAAGCCAGGAGGCAGAGGAUGCAGUGAGCCGAGAUCGUGCCAUUACGCUCCAGCCUGGGUGACAGAGGGAGACUCCAUCUCAAAAAAAAAAAAGAAAAAAGAAAAGAAAGAAGGAAACCAGAUGUGAGGAAAGAGAAAAAGGAGGCAGGGUGUUGGGAACAUUCUGAGGAAGGUACUAAGUGAUUGAUGGGAAAAAAAGCUAGGCUAGAAGGAAAAACAGGAAAGAGAAGAGAGAAGCUAAAAGAAAAAGGAAUAAGAAAGAAAUAAGCUGUGCCGGGCGUGGUGGCUCACGCCUGUAAUCCCUGCACUUUGGGAGGCUGAGGCGGGCGGAUC